rnacentral:rRNA from 1 species
GACGUAGGGCGCGAGCGUUGUCCGGAUUUAUUGGGCGUAAAGAGCUCGUAGGCGGCUCGUUGCGUCGGCUGUGAAAACCCGCAGCUCAACUGUGGGCUUGCAGCUGAUACGGGCGGGCUGGAGUUCGGUAGGGGAGACUGGAAUUCCUGGUGUAGCGGUGAAAUGCGCAGAUAUCAGGAGGAACACCGGUGGCGAAGGCGGGUCUCUGGGCAUCUCCUGACGCUGAGGCGCGAAAGCGUGGGGAGCAAACGGG